GCUUCCCACGUCCAGGAGCACAUCUAACUUAUCGAACGCUCCCGGCAGCCCUAUGGAACAGACAGGACGAUCAUCCUCCCAUAAUACACAUGAGGAAACCAGACACAGAGAGGUUUAGGAGCUUGCCUGAGGUCACACAGCCAUUUCAGUGAAGAAUUGGCAUCCAGAACACUGAGCUGCCCUCGCCUCCCAGACCGCGAGCCUGAGUCGGCCGCUGCCCUGCACCGUGGUCCCCCAGCUCCCGAAACUGUGCUGGGAAACCCCGUUUCGCCAAGAAUGGCUAAAGCAGUGCUGCCACUGAUGAGAUCUGUUCCACGGAGACCCUCGGCCCCAGCCCUGAGGCCUGCUGGCCUGGGAGCACCCUCUCCCCAUCCUACCUCGGAAUCUUUUCGGGCAUCUCCCUUGCCUGCGGAGGAGGUAUGGGGCUUUGGAAUCGGGGACUCAGGCCCCACACUGGACUCUACCGGUGACCUCGGGACAGCCUCAGUGUCCUUGUCCCUGAAGUGGGACGCCAGUGGCCUCCUGCCAGGGUGGCUGUGAAGGUCAGUGAGGAGCAGAUGUGACCGCUGCUGGUGUGCUCCAGAGGAGAGCCCAUCAGGGACUGCAGAGAGCGUCCGUCUGCACCUCCUCCAUUGAACUCUGGACUGGGCCACUGCCCUCCUUGUCUCCUUUCCAAAUCACUUCUGUCAUGGUCCCAGCAGGAAACAGAUGGCACGCGCAAACGAUUUUCUGGAAGGACUUUGGCAAAGGGACUGUUGACAGGCGUGAGAGCGGGGUUAAGAGAGUCGACAAGGGAGGCGGCACCCCAGAAACAGAGACCGACUGUCCAAGGGCCCCGGGGUGGUCAGCAGGCGCCCAAGCCGGACCCCGCUUCACAUAGGAAGUCACAGCCAUUGACGGGCAUUUUCCACCUGCCAUACAAUGUCUUUAGAGAAUGCACAGGCUGCUUCGGGACCGCCAUUCGCAGCUCUUGUGCGCACUGAGGGACCUGAAUGUCAGCUCAGACUUGGUGCGCCGAAGGCUUUUCCAGGGGGAGCGAGUGCCCACCCGGCAUCGCACCCUGGUGUCUCCCCACGGGCUGUGAGGAAUACACGUGACCGUGUGCAUGGAAGUGCCCGGCAGCGUGUUCGGAAGGAGCAGGGGCUGUGCCCGCAUACAGGAAGUGCUUAAUCAAUGUGGAGAGCAAACAAGCAGGUUCUUUGCUGAGGGGAGAGGGAGACAUGAAGGUGAGAAGGAAAAAGAUGGCUCCCGGUGGGAUGAACCAAGGAUGCUGUAUGUUUGGUUGCUGUGACCCAUGGCCACAGACGUGGUGACUUAUUACAGCCCACAGUCAUUCUCGCCCAACUCCGGAGGGCAGACGUCAGCCGUCGGUUUCACGGACCCAAAUCGAGGGCUGGCCAAGGCUGUGCUCUCUCUUGGAGCCACUCGGGGAAUCACGUCCCUGGCCAUCUCCGGCUUCUGCAGCUGCAGUCGUUGGCUCCUGGCCCCGUCCUCCAGCUUCAACAUCAGCGGGUGGCCCCCCUCCCUCCAGGCCCUGGGCUGCGGGCAAAGGAGGGGGCCCUCAGGGCCGCACUGCCCGGCCACCAGCCCUGGGGAACCUGCCGGCUGUUUUCUAACAAUUAGUGGGAGAAAGACCUCAUCCAAGCACACCCAGGGCGGCCGUUUCUCCUGGCAGUACUUUCCGGUUUGGCUCCAAAAGAAAAUAAAAACGUGAUGUUUAGUAAUCCCUUCAAAAUCGCUUGUCUAUUUUGAAGCUUCAUUAAUUAACACCAAAUACCAUUAUUUAUUAAAUUCUUGUGAUUCAUUCUAUUUUUGAAAAUUCAGCGUUGGACGCGGGAGCCCUUAUGUCUAAGUGGCCUGGCGUGAGGCUGACGGACAGUGAGCAGAUGAGGAAGCACGUUCUAGAGAGACGUGUGGGUUCACUGUGUCGCGGUCGCUCAGACUCGGGCCCGUGGUCAGUAAUGGGUGAGCAGCCCCAGCCCCAGCAUGUGACUUGCCCACACCCUCCGGGGGGCACAGACGCCCUGGAGAGGGGACACCCUGCAGACGAUGUUGACCCUGGGCCCACCCCACACGUCCCGUGUGUUGCAGGGCCCCAUGCCCCAGCCCUGGCUGCCAAGCCCCUGAAGGCCCUCG
rnacentral:lncRNA from 1 species